rnacentral:rRNA from 1 species
AGGAGCCUGUCCUGUAAUCGAUAAUCCACGUUUAACCUCACCAUUUUUAGUUUAUCAGCCUGUAUACCUCCGUCGUCAGCUUACCACGUGAGCGUCAGUUAGUGAGCCUAAUGUUCUUUCACCAAAACGUCAGGUCAAGGUGCAGCAAAUAAAAUGGGAAGAGAUGGGCUACACUUUCUACCAUAGAAAAAACGAAAAACUACCUAUGAAACCUAGUUGGAAGGCGGAUUUAGCAGUAAAAAGGAAUCAGCAUGUCCAUUUUAACCCGGCACUGGGGUGUGU